rnacentral:snRNA from 1 species
GUGCUUGCUUCAGCAGCACAUAUACUAAAACUGGAGAGAAUAUAUAGAAGAUUAGCAUGGCCCCUGUGCAAGGAUGAUAUGCAAAUUCAUGAAGUAUUUUGUUUUU